CAGCCUUGGCCAGCCCAGAAAAGGGCUCCCGCAGUGCAGUGGGGGGGGGCUGAAGGGUUCCUCAAAUGCCACCAAAGUGGGAGCCCAGGCAGGGGAGGUGCCGAGAGCAAGCGAGGACUCUGAGGACUGCCAGCAUGCUGUCAGCUCUCAGAAGCACUGCACUGUCUCCCUCUUGCAGUGUUUCCCUCUUUUCAGGGACCCAGGAUUCGAGGUUUUCAAAUAUUAUUUUCUACAAGUUGGAUUGAAUCUUAAAUUCUUUCCAGGUUACAAGUCUCCAAGGCUUCAACAUUCCAUGUCAAGCUGAUAGUUGUGCAAGGAUUCCAAACCCUCCCAUCCCAGCAAGAGCCAAGCCCCUAUAAAACAUUAAAUCAAAAGAUUUUUGUGGCCUCUAGGGUUGGGCGAGGACGACAACCCUGUUCAGCAGAAAGUAGCUCCAGAAGACUAGACUGCUGCCCUUUUUCCUUAAGAAGAAGGAGGAUAAAAUGUCUCAGUGUGGCAUGAGGCAGAGGAGAGGCAGAACUUGGCUUCAGCUCACCCCCCACAGAGCAUUCCUGCUGACCACAAACCCCACACCACUACAUCACUGCCACCAUAAUGUUUAACCAUGCCUUUUACUUAAAGAAUUCCAGGAACUGGCCUUAGAAGAUAACCAUGGUUGUGAAGUGUCCCAUCUCUGGAAGAAAUGCUGAACAACUGAUUUACAGCUUUGUUGCCACUGGCCAGACCACCAGGUGGUCCAUUACUCAAGAUAAUCAUCACAACCAGAUAAUGCUGCUCUGCAAACUCCACCCCUCAUGUGCUUUGCCCAGCUCAGCCCACACAUACCCUACCCCUGAUGUCAAUUCCUGCAUAGUGCCUAAUUAAAAAGCCAUACUGGCUCUUUCUGGGGAGUCAGUCAAGGAAUCUUCUCUCUCUCUCUCUCUUUCUCUCUGUCUUGCUGCCUCCCUUAUGCCCAGGCAUAAGCUCCAGUGAAGCUUUGUCUGGGAAUCUCUUUCAGCCUCAUGUCAAUUUCUGUUAACUGGAGAGCCCAAGAACACAUGGUGGGUAACACAAACACAACAUGAAACUAAAGUUUUAUUUUCCAAGACAAAGCCCCAAUGGAACCUUUCCUCGCUAUUUCCUGAGACAUGUUGUCUGCCUUUUAAGAGGAUACAUGUGAGUAGCUGACCCCCAGAACUACUCUUUCCCCACAUAAUGAGGGCCUCCCAUGUCUCAUUUGUUUUUAGAGCUCCAUGACCAGCUAUGUCAUUUGGGCUUGAUUUUAUAGGUGGAGAAACUGAGGCCCAGAGGACACAUAUGGGGAGUGCAUGACCCAGUGUUUUGCCCAGGUCAACUUGACUCCCACAGUCAAGCGCGGCCCCGUUAGCUGAUUCCCAGCGGACUGAUAACCGUCUCUGGAAUGAAGCAGGGAGUGACUGAAUCAGGAAACCCAUCAACAGUGCUACCUACCCGUCUACUUGGAAAAGAAGAGGAAUUCCCACAAGCAGCUCUGGGAGACCUCUUAAUGCCCAGGGACACCUACAUCUCUCUGUCAAUCUCUUCUCCAGGUCAGCUCCAACUCUCAGGGUCUUUUCAGGGGCCUGACCCUCCUGCUUCGGCCCCCCAGUGAAUGAGGCCUCUCCUGGCCUGCCCCCUUCUCCCCGCCUCCCCAGAAUAUCCCUUUCCACUCUUUCAAAUGAACCUAAUCUGUGUCUGCUCCUGCCCAACCGCAUCUUCUGCCAGGCAGUUGGUGCCUGAAACCAGCUCAUGAGAGUUUCUAGCCCUGGAGAGAAGUGCGCAGCACAUUGGCUGCACCCAUAGCUCUGGCUUUUGUGAUCUGACCCAGAAAAGCC
rnacentral:lncRNA from 1 species